GACGAACGCUGGCGGCGUGCUUAACACAUGCAAGUCGAACGGUAAGGCCCUUCGGGGUACACGAGUGGCGAACGGGUGAGUAACACGUGGGUGAUCUGCCCUGCACUUCGGGAUAAGCCUGGGAAACUGGGUCUAAUACCGGAUAGGACUCCGGACUGCAUGGUCUGGGGUGGAAAGCUUUUGCGGUGUGGGAUGGGCCCGCGGCCUAUCAGCUUGUUGGUGGGGUGAUGGCCUACCAAGGCGACGACGGGUAGCCGGCCUGAGGGGGUGACCGGCCACACUGGGACUGAGAGACGGCCCAGACUCCUACGGGAGGCAGCAGUGGGGAAUAUUGCACAAUGGCGCAAGCCUGGUGCAGCGACGCCGCGUGGGGGAUGACGGCCUUCGGGUUGUAAACCUCUUUCAGCAUCGACGAAGCGAAAGUGAUGGUAGGUGCAGAAGAAGGACCGGCCAACGACGUGCCAGCCGCCGCCGUAA
rnacentral:rRNA from 1 species